rnacentral:rRNA from 1 species
AUUGAACGCUGGCGGCAGGCCUAACACAUGCAAGUCGAGCGGAUGAGAGGAGCUUGCUCCUCGAUUCAGCGGCGGACGGGUGAGUAAUGCCUAGGAAUCUGCCCAGUAGCGGGGGACAACGUUUCGAAAGGAACGAUAAUACCGCAUACGUCCUACGGGAGAAAGUGGGGGAUCUUCGGACCUCACGCUAUUGGAUGAGCCUAGGUCGGAUUAGCUAGUUGGUAGGGUAAAGGCCUACCAGGGCGACGAUCCGUAACUGGUCUGAGAGGAUGAUCAGUCACACUGGAACGGAGACACGGUCCAGACUCCUACGGGAGGCAGCAGUGGGGAAUAUUGGACAAUGGGCGCAAGCCUGAUCCAGCCAUGCCGCGUGUGUGAAGAAGGCCCUCGGGUCGUAAAGCACUUUAAGUUGGGAGGAAGGGCUUACAGCGAAUACCUGUGAGUUUUGACGUUACCGACAGAAUAAGCACCGGCUAACUUCGUGCCAGCAGCCGCCGUAA